UACAGAGGGGGCGAGCGUUGUUCGGAAUUACUGGGCGUAAAGGGCGCGUAGGCGGCCAACUAAGUCAGACGUGAAAUCCCUCGGCUCAACCGGGGAACUGCGUCUGAUACUGGACGGCUUGAGUAUGGGAGAGGAACGUAGAAUUCCAGGUGUAGCGGUGAAAUGCGUAGAUAUCUGGAGGAAUACCGGUGGCGAAGGCGGCAUCCUGGACCAACACUGACACUGAGGAGCGAAAGCCAGGGGAGCAAACGGG
rnacentral:rRNA from 1 species